rnacentral:rRNA from 1 species
UACGGGAGGCAGCAGUGGGGAAUAUUGCACAAUGGGCGCAAGCCUGAUGCAGCCAUGCCGCGUGUAUGAAAAAGGCCUUCGGGUUGUAAAGUACUUUCAGUCGUGAGGAAGGUGUUAAGGUUAAUAACCUUAGCAAUUGACGUUAGCGACAGAAGAAGCACCGGCUAACUCCGUGCCAGCAGCCGCGGUAAUACGGAGGGUGCGAGCGUUAAUCGGAAUUACUGGGCGUAAAGGGCACGCAGGCGGUUAAUUAAGUUGGAUGUGAAAUCCCCGGGCUUAACCUGGGAAUGGCAUUCAAGACUGGUUAGCUAGAGUCUUGUAGAGGGGGUAGAAUUCCAUGUGUAGCGGUGAAUGCGUAGAGAUGUGGAGGAAUACCGGUGGCGAAGGCGGCCCCUGGACAAAGACUGACGCUCAUGUGCGAAAGCGUGGGGAGCAAACAGGGAUUAGAUAC